AACGAACGCUGGCGGCAUGCCUAACACAUGCAAGUCGAACGAGACCUUCGGGUCUAGUGGCGCACGGGUGCGUAACGCGUGGGAAUCUGCCCUUGGGUUCGGAAUAACAGUUGGAAACGACUGCUAAUACCGGAUGAUGACGUAAGUCCAAAGAUUUAUCGCCCAAGGAUGAGCCCGCGUAGGAUUAGCUAGUUGGUGAGGUAAAGGCUCACCAAGGCGACGAUCCUUAGCUGGUCUGAGAGGAUGAUCAGCCACACUGGGACUGAGACACGGCCCAGACUCCUACGGGAGGGAGCAGUGGGGAAUAUUGGACAAUGGGCGAAAGCCUGAUCCAGCAAUGCCGCGUGAGUGAUGAAGGCCUUAGGGUUGUAAAGCUCUUUUACCCGGGAUGAUAAUGACAGUACCGGGAGAAUAAGCGCCGGCUAACUCCGUG
rnacentral:rRNA from 1 species